AGCUUUAAGAUAAUAUUUAAAGUUUUACCUGCCCGGUGAUUUUUUAACGGCCGCAGUACUUUGACUGUGCUAAGGUAGCAUAAUAAAUUGGCUUUUAAUUGAGGUCUGGAAUGAAAGGGAGAUUGGAAAGAAACUGUCUCUAAAAAGAUAUUAAUAAUUUACUUAUUGGGUGAAAAUUCCCAUACAAGAUACAUUAGACGAGAAGACCCUAAGAAUUAUUAUAAUAAAUAUGAAUUUUAUUGGCGUUUUUGUUGGGGCAACAGUGUUGGAUAUUAAACCAAUAAUAUUAUUUAUCAUGUCAAGAUUUUUAAGUAAGAAAUAAAUUACCUUAGGGAUAACAGCAUAAUUAAGAUUUUUAGAUUGUGACCUCGAUGUUGGAUUAAGGACUUUAAUUAUUAGCCAUUAUUAAAGAUAGUUCUGUUCGAACUUAACACCUU
rnacentral:rRNA from 1 species